UCUUCUCAUCAAUUCUCUCUCACUCUCUCUCUCUCUCUCUCUCUCUCUCUCUCUCUCUCUCUUUUUUCCUCACUCUAAUCUAAUUUUUUUACUUCUUUCAAUCCAUCAAUUACAAGGGAAAAAGAAGAAUUAGGCCUGAUUUGUCUUCUCCCAGCCUCUACACAUCGCAACAUAACAAGAAUGCUGAAGGAAGGAGAGGAAAACAAUUUGCUAUAUUUGAUAGAUUGGCCAAUAUCUUUGGGAAAGAUAGAGCAAUUGAAAAGGCAGCUGAAACUCCCAUUGAUAUGGUUGAAGAGGUAAAUAGAGAAGAUGAUAAUAUAAAUGCUAUUGACAUGGAAGAGAGCUCUCCAACUUUAGUGCAAAAUAGAUCAAUUGCUACUUCAACCCAUAAAAGGAAAAAGAGAGCAGAUUGUAACAAUGUAGAGGACGUUUUAUUGACUUCAUUUCAGUAAAUGUUUGACAAACCAUUGAUCAAUUGAAGGUGAUAGCAGAUACACUAGUGAAAAGUCAUGAAGAUCGAUCUGAUAUUUCUAAUAAACUAAAAGAUAUGAGACUAUCUGUUGAGGAUCAAUUGGAUUUGUUUGGUAUUAUAGUACAUAAACCUCAUAAUCUUACUAUGUUUAGGUCCACUCAUGGUCCAGUUAGAUAAAUGUUUGUGAGGAGGUUACUUAGCCAAUUGAGAGGAGGUUCAUCAAGCUUAGAUGACUAACUUUGUUAUAUUGCUUUGUGGUUGCAUUCUAUAAACUUUAU